rnacentral:rRNA from 1 species
CGCCUUGCCAGCCCGCUACAGAAACUCAAAGGAAUUGACGGGGGCCCGCACAAGCGGUGGAGCAUGUGGUUUAAUUCGAUGAUACGCGAGGAACCUUACCUGGGCUCAAACGUAUGUUGACGUAUUCUGAAAGGGAUACUUCUUCGGACAAUAUACAAGGUGCUGCAUGGUUGUCGUCAGCUCGUGCCGUGAGGUGUCGGGUUAAGUCCCAUAACGAGCGCAACCCCUAUCAUUAGUUGCCAUCAGGUCAAGCUGGGGACUCUAAUGAAACUGCCUACGCAAGUAGUGAGGAAGGCGGGGAUGACGUCAAAUCAGCACGGCCCUUACGUCCAGGGCUACACACGUGCUACAAUGGCCGGUACAAAGGGCAGCUACCUGGUGACAGGAUGCUAAUCUCAAAAGCCGGUCUCAGUUCGGAUCGGAGUCUGCAACCCGACUCCGUGAAGCUGGAUUCGCUAGUAAUCGCGCAUCAGCCACGGCGCGGUGAAUACGUUCCCGGGCCUU